GAAAACAUUGUUACCAAAAUAUGGUCUUAAAAGAUCUGACAUAUUCAUAACUAGCAAGCUUGUAAUUGGUGAAGAGAGGACACGUAUUCCUUAAUAGACAAGACGACACUGCUUCUGCCUACAAGAAUGAAGAAGACAUC